rnacentral:rRNA from 1 species
GGCGGCGUGCCUAAUACAUGCAAGUCGAACGGCUUUUCUAUGGAAGCUUGCUUCCACUGAGAAGAUAGUGGCGAACGGGUGAGUAACACGUGGGUAACCCUGCCCAUAAGAGGGGGGAUAACAUCCGGAAACGGGUGCUAAUACCGCAUAGUUUUCUUGAUCGCAUGAUCGGGAAAGGAAAGACGGCCUUUGUGCUGUCGCUUAUGGAUGGACCCGCGGCGUAUUAGUUAGUUGGUGAGGUAACGGCUCACCAAGACGAUGAUACGUAGCCGACCUGAGAGGGUGAUCGGCCACAUUGGGACUGAGACACGGCCCAAACUCCUACGGGAGGCAGCAGUAGGGAAUCUUCCGCAAUGGACGAAAGUCUGACGGAGCAACGCCGCGUGAGUGAAAGAAGGUUUUCGGAUCGUAAAACUCUGUUGUCAGAGAAGAACAAGUUGGAGAGUAACUGCUCCAGCCUUGACGGUAUCUGACCAGAAAGCCACGGCUAACUACGUGCCAGCCGCCGC